CAAUAGCGUAUAUUAAAGUUGUUGCAGUUAAAAAGCUCGUAGUUGGAUUUCUGGUGAGAUGGAUUAUGUCUAGGUCGAAAGAUCUUGUUCAUGGUUCGUUUUGCCCUUCUUGUCAGGAACCCGCUGAGAUUCGCGUCUUGUCGGUGGAAUGGCAUCGUUUACUGUGAAAAAAUUAGAGUGUUCAAAGCAGGCAUCGCCGUCGAAUACAUUAGCAUGGAAUAAUAAGAUAAGACUUUGGUGGUCUAUUUUGUUGGUUUGCACGCCAAAGUAAUGAUUAAUAGGGAUAGUUGGGGGUAUUCGUAUUCUAUUGCUAGAGGUGAAAUUCUUAAAUUUAUGGAAGACGAACUACUGCGAAAGCAUUUACCAAGGAUGUUUUCAUUAA
rnacentral:rRNA from 1 species